AACGAACGCUGGCGGCAGGCUUAACACUUGCAAGUCGAGCGCCCCGCAAGGGGAGCGGCAGACGGGUGAGUAACGCGUGGGAAUCUACCCAUCUCUACGGAAUAACGCAUGGAAACGUGUGCUAAUACCGUAUACGUCCUUCGGGAGAAAGAUUUAUCGGAGAGGGAUGAGCCCGCGUUGGAUUAGCUAGUUGGUGGGGUAAAGGCCUACCAAGGCGACGAUCCAUAGCUGGUCUGAGAGGAUGAUCAGCCACACUGGGACUGAGACACGGCCCAGACUCCUACGGGAGGCAGCAGUGGGGAAUAUUGGACAAUGGGCACAAGCCUGAUCCAGCCAUGCCGCGUGAGCGAUGAAGGCCCUAGGGUUGUAAAGCUCUUUCGCCAGUGAAGAUAAUGACGGUAACCGGAGAAGAAGCCCCGGCUAACUUCGUGCCAGCCGCCGCGGUAAAAC
rnacentral:rRNA from 1 species